UGGGGAAUCUUGCGCAAUGGGCGAAAGCCUGACGCAGCCAUGCCGCGUGAGUGAUGAAGGCCUUAGGGUUGUAAAACUCUUUCACCGGGGACGAUAAUGACGGUACCCGGAGAAGAAGCCCCGGCUAACUUCGUGCCAGCAGCCGCGGUAAUACGAAGGGGGCUAGCGUUGCUCGGAAUUACUGGGCGUAAAGGGCGCGUAGGCGGAUCAGCAAGUUGGGGGUGAAAGCCCGGGGCUCAACCUCGGAAUUGCCUUCAAAACUGCUGAUCUAGGGUACGGGAGAGGUGUGUGGAACUCCGAGUGUAGAGGUGAAAUUCGUAGAUAUUCGGAAGAACACCAGUGGCGAAGGCGACACACUGGCCCGUUACUGACGCUGAGGCGCGAAAGCGUGGGGAGCAAACAGGAUUAGAUACCCUGGUAGUCCACGCUGUAAACGAUGAUUGCUAGUUGUCGGCAGGCAUGCCUGUCGGUGACGCAGCUAACGCAUUAAGCAAUCCGCCUGGGGAGUACGGUCGCAAGAUUAAAAACUCAAAUGAAUUGACGGGGUCAUAGC
rnacentral:rRNA from 1 species